rnacentral:misc_RNA from 1 species
ACUUCUUUAGCUUCACCACUCCUUUCUGCAACAAUCUUUGACAUUCCAAACAUCUUUUGGAUGGUCUUCUUAAAGCAGCUCUUGUGCUCAUCCAUAGAUGCAUGAAUGAAUUCAUCAAUGUGAUCCUUUAAAUCUUCCAUAAAAGUGCCCUCCUCAUUCUUCUUCUUUCGACAUGAAGAGACAGCAGAUGAUUGUUGUUUUUGCUGUUGACUACUUUGUUUUUCCAUAUUUGGUAUUUCCCAGAGAUUCUUCCAAUUGAAAGCUUUGCUCGCGUGAAAAAUCAGACGGCCAAAGAGCUAGUUCGGGGUUGAUGUGAAUU